rnacentral:rRNA from 1 species
CCUACGGGUGGCAGCAGUGAGGAAUAUUGGUCAAUGGACGAGAGUCUGAACCAGCCAAGUAGCGUGAAGGAUGACUGCCCUCUGGGUUGUAAACUUCUUUUAUAUGGGAAUAAAAUGUUCCACGUGUGGGAUUAUGUAUGUACCAAAUGAAUAAGGACAGGCUAACUCCGUGCCAGCAGCCGCGGUAAUACGGAGGAUCCGAGCGUUAUCCGGAUUUAUUGGGUUUAAGGGGAGCGUAGGUGGAUUGUUAAGUCAGUUGUGAAAGUUUGCGGCUCAACCGUAAAAUUGCAGUUGAAACUGGCAGUCUGGAGUACGGUAGAGGUGGGCGGAAUUCGUGGUGUAGCGGUGAAAUGCGUAGAUAUCACGAAGAACUCCGAUUGCGAAGGCAGUUCACUGGACUGCAACUGACACUGAGGCUCGAAAGUGUGGGUAUCAAACAGGAUUAGAUACCCUAGUAGUC